CAAAACAGUAGGAUGAAUAUUUUGGUAUUUGAAAGCGUGUUAACAUUUUAUUAUUGGUUUCAGAAAAACACUGAGAAUUGCAGAAGUUCCUCAGAAAAGCAGAGUUGGUCAAAAAAGCAUUUGUGGAGCUUCAGACAGAAUGCAUGAGUUCUCACUAGAGGAUCUGCACUACGUUCCUGGCUGGCCUGCUGCCUUCUCCAAGUGUACAAGUUGCUGAGUGUUGAGUGGAGUGAAACUGUGUGUGUUUCUUUGAGCCGUGGAUCCAACCAGUCCCACUGAGUUUAAGAAGAUUUCUCUCUCUGGGGUGGCACGUCUUAGACUCUUCGGUCUUCAACUUAUCAGGAGAAUUGGCCAUCAACUUUGACUACAUCUUGAUGAAUCCUUAAUAAAUCCAUGGAGAGGACCAGUAGAAGGAAGGACAGCAGAAGAGGCUCCACUGUGACUUCAUGUAGCUGGUUGCAAGCUGUGUGUGUCGCCCUGCCAUCUUCACCUGCAGGAGCUGAGUGUGCAGCACCAAGUGCCUCAAGAAGGGAUGGCUUUGGGGAAAACAUAUAUGCUUCCAACAAGGAAUUGCUAUUUCUAGAGGAAUAAAUUCAUUUCAGACAGCACUGAUAAUGAUGUCCCACACUGGUUAUUGGCUUGCGCAACUUUCCUGAAAUUAAACAAUGCUUUUCUUCUGUAAGUUAUUUGUGUCUUUCAAGUUUUUUUUUCUAAAAUGGUUCAGCACCACAGUGAA
rnacentral:lncRNA from 1 species